UACGGGGGGAGCAAGCGUUGUUCGGAUUUACUGGGCGUAAAGGGCGCGUAGGCGGUCGUGACAAGUCACUUGUGAAAUCUCCGGGCUUAACUCGGAACGGUCAAGUGAUACUGUCGGACUAGAGUACAGAAGGGGCAACUGGAAUUCCUGGUGUAGCGGUGAAAUGCGCAGAUAUCAGGAGGAACACCGGUGGCGAAGGCGGGUCUCUGGGCAAUAACUGACGCUGAGGAGCGAAAGCGUGGGGAGCGAACAGG
rnacentral:rRNA from 1 species